rnacentral:rRNA from 1 species
GACGAACCGUGCGAACGUUGUUCGGAAUCACUGGGCUUAAAGGGCGCGUAGGCGGGCCCCCAAGUCAAGGGUGAAAGCCCCCGGCUCAACCGGGGAAGUGCCCGUGAUACUGGGGGCCUCGAGGGAGGUAGGGGCGUGCGGAACUUCCGGUGGAGCGGUGAAAUGCGUAGAUAUCGGAAGGAACACCGGUGGCGAAAGCGGCGCGCUGGACCUCUGCUGACGCUGAGGCGCGAAAGCCAGGGGAGCAAACGGG